CCAAACAUGUUUUUUUUUUAUUUAUGAAAACACUAAAAACUGUUUUUCAGAACAGUUUUCAAAAAUAGCAACCAAACAAACACUUAUAUUCUCUACAUUUUGGUUGGUCAACUUAAAUCUCGGUCAUAUUUUAUCCUUGGAGAAUUCUACAGUGCCUUCGGAGGUAGCAUGCCUAGGUUUUUUUUUUAGCCGUUGGAAACAGAUUAAAUCUCAAGCAUCCAAAUGAAAAGGAAAAAAAAAAAAAAAAAAAAACCGACUACCUCCUCCUCCUGUUCUCUCUCCCUAUCUCCCAUUUUUCCUCCCUAAUUUGCUCUCUUCUCCUCCAUAGCCGGUCGUGUAGCUUAUCUCACCCUUAUCCCGUGCUCUCACCUCCACUCAUCCUCUAUAGCUGGCCAUGUAGUUGUUACCCAUCCUAUUCUUUCACCCAUUUCCCAUUUUCCCCCCACCUAAUUUGCUCUCUUCUCCAGUCAUCCUCCAUAGUCGGACCGGGUAGUUGUUCUCUCCCAUUUUUCCCAUUCCCCCCUCUCUAAUUUGGUAUCUUCUCCACUCAUCCUCCAUAGUCGGGUCGGGUAGUUGUUCUCUAUCCCUUUUGUUGAGUUUCCCCAUAUUUUCCUCUCUUCUCCAUACUCGGCUCUUCUUCGGGUACUUGUGUUUUCCGCUCAUCUCCAUCAUCUAUUAUUUUUGGGUGUUUUCAGUUGUCUUUGUGUAUUGUUGGAUGUUUUCAUGUUGUUGGUGUUUUCGGGUGAGAUAUUCUAACUGUUUCGACCGGCAUCUUUAUGAGUUUUCUCUUUUCUCCGUAUCCUUCUCUGUUUAUGUCCAUAUUUAAUUUUCACAUUUGGGGUUUUUUAAGGUUUUGAAGUAAAGAGUGCAAUAUUCCCGCUCCUCCUCUCCUCUCCAUAACCCUUGUAUUUUCUUCAUAUUUGAUAUUUUGUUUAAGAGGUGUUUUCAGGUUCUAAAUUUUUUGGUUUGAAGACCCGAAUUGAAGACGACAUGUAGUACUAAGAGAAAGAAAGUUGAAAAGAACGCAAUUUUUUUUGUUAAUCAAAAGGCGAUUAUGGCGUAAUUAUUUGCCGAGUUCUAUAUUAAGAAAAAAAAAAGAGUAUUUAUAAUGUGUUUUACAAUAUUAUAUCCCUUAUAUUUCAUGUUUUUUAUUAGAUUUAUGGAUUGAUCACAUUAAUGAAAAAUAUUGUGGUUAGAUCCAUAAUUGAACAUUGAAAAAAAUUUAUAUGCUAAUUUUGUCACCAUGUAAAAUGUAGAGAGAUUUAGGGAUGAUUUUGUAGUGGUAAUGAUAUUUGUAUUUUAUUUGGUAUUUGAUUGAUUGUAGUAAGAUAUGAAUAUAAAAUUUAUUGAAAUGUGAAAAAAAAACUUAUGUUGAGAUAAUGUGGUGGUGAAAGUAUGUUUGAUUUAUUAAAUCUGAAGUCAUAUUAUAAAAAAUGACUUAAAUGAUUUGAUUUAAUUUUUAGGAGCGAACACGAUGGUGUUGAAUUUGUUAGAAGUCCAAAGGGGCCUAUCAGAGCUUGGAUAUAUUACUAGUAAGGGAAAAUAGAAAUAUGUAAAAGAAUAUGUUUUUUUUUAUGUAUUUUUGUUGUUGUUGUAGUUAUAUAUAGUUAUAUUUGUUUGAAAUUGUUUUGUAGUAACAAUCAAUUGGCCAUGAUCAAAGAAAAUGAUAAAGGAGUGAAGAUAAAUGAUGAUGUAACGAGUAAUAUUGUUGUGGCUAAUAUAAUUGCAUUUUAAAAUUAGAAUUUAAAGUAAGUGACCAAUUUAUGUAGUUGAGGAAAAAAUUGGGCAAGAAGUAGAAUGCACUUUCAAAAGUAGAAAAAAAGAUUUCAUGGCAAAGUAAAAAAAAUGUUCAAAACAAUAUUCAUUUCAAAAGGGUGUGGGUCCAAAGGUAAUUUUUUUUGUAAUGAAUAUAAAAUUUCAUUAUGUAUUUGUUGCAAAUUAUAUUAAUGUAAACAUGUUUGAUGUUUGUAUAUCUUUUCAGUUAUAUCUUCAGACUCCAUACUCACCCGAGCCAGUGAUUAGAGUUAUUGAAGAAUUAUAACCAAAGCAAAAAACAGUUAUAGAAGAAAUAGGAUUUGGUAGCCUCUUGCAACUUCGAUGUAGGAAAAUUGAUCAUGGAUUAUGUCUUUGGUUGAUAAAUAGUUUCAAUCCGAACACUUAUAUGUUAGAGUUGUAUAAUACUUGUAUCAAAUUAUCCUCCAUUGAUGUUGAAUUUAUUAUGGGAUUGAGGGCAAGAGGGUUGAAUAUUGACAGGAACAAAGAUGUUAGUGAUAAGAAUGAUUUAUGUAAAAAAUAUUGUGAUAAAAAGGGGCGAUUGCUAUUGGUGAUGUUAGAAAAUCAAAUUAGGGAGGAUAAAGAAGGUGGAAACGAUUUCAAAGUUCGUUUUGUAUUAUUUGUGUUGGGUGCAUUAUUGUGCCCAACAAUGAAGCUUUAUGUGAAACGUUUUUUUUACAUCUUGUGGAGGACAUCGAUUCAAUAAAGAAGAUGAAAUUAGGCUAAAUUUGUGUUGUCUUAUUUUGUGCACGGGAUUGAAGAGUUUAAGAGGAAACAACAACGUGGGGUUUCCGAUUGCUUAUUAUUUUUAAUGGUAAUGUCCUUGUACAUAAUUUACAUCAUAGUGAAUUUCGAAUUUGUUAUAAUAAAAUUUGUGAACUAACUAUAUAUCUAUGUAAAAUAUAUUGCGGUUAUUCUACCACAAGCAUAUAUUAUUCGAAGAGAAAUUUAUACUGCUAUAUACUCGACCUUCUCCUCUGAUUAUUGCUUGGGGAGAUGAUGAAGUACUAGAUAUGAAACGAAGAUUGAAAAAACUUGGUGGAUAUGCAAAUGACAAUGUCAAAAUAUGAGUGAUACAAAAUGAGAUAAGGGAUUGCGUGAAUGGAAAUGCGAUGACAAUGAAGGGUGAGAAUGAGGAGGAUGAAAAAUUUGAAAUCAAUCCAAACAAAUAUGUUAUUAAACGAGUUGAUGGUGGGAGCUUAAUGGAGAUGGAUAAAACCUUUCAACAAUUAAAGCCACAUCUAAUUGAUUUGUCUCAUGGUGCAAGUAGUAGUAGUUGUGAAAAAGUUUUUACUGAAUUUGAGGAGAAAUAUACUACAUUGAAAGGUCUCUUUCUUAGGUCAAGUGAAAAACCUUUGAGAAUGCACGAGGAGGGAACGAAGAAUCACAUUCUCUCAUGUGAGAGAAGUUUGGAAGAUGAAGAUAAUAAGAAAGGAAAUGAACAUUAUGUUCAUACUUUGUCAAUUGACAAGUUAUGCAUUGAGGACUUGAAUAGAAAGAAUGAAGAUGCAUGUGCUACAUCAAUUGAAGUGCAUAUCAUUCCAGACAAAAAUGUAGAUAUUUUACCACUUCCAAUCAAAAGAACUAGAAGAGAUCAUGGAAAGAUAUGUAUCAUAUAAAAGAAAAAAUUAUUUUCUUUACAACUACUUAACCAUUACAUAGUAAAUAGAUGUAUAUUAAUAACAUUUUCCAUAUUUGGAACCAUUAUGAGCACUAUGUGGUUUUCCUUAGCAUGUCAUGAAAACACGUACAUCAAGGGAAAGGAAACCAAGUAAAUUUAAGGUCUCCCCAUUUGUAUACAAUUUAAAGAAGAUGAGAAAACGUCAAGUAUCAGAGGUAUGAUACAAAUAGUUUACUAUUAUGUUCUUAUUUUUGAUACUCAACAUAUAUAGCUAAUAAUUAUGUCUUGUUUUCAAUUUAGUCAAUCUCCAUGUCCAUUCGUGAAGACGUGGUGGAUGCUCAAUCAUUCAAUGUACUUCAAUAUCUUGUUGUUGAUUAUGAUUUCAAUAAAGCAUUGUCAAAAAGGUUUGUAGUGUCUAUAACAUUCAUAGAUGUGUUGUUACAAUUUUAGCCUUCAUAUUUUUCCAAUUCAGUCAAGAAUGUUUUAACAUAUUAUUAUUUUAGUGAGCUUCUUGUUGACUUUGAUCAUGAACAUGGAGUUUGUGGAGAUUUUGAGUGCUUAUGUCUUAGACAAAAUUUGUUGGAUGUUGUAAGUACCUACUUCAUUUAUAUCAAAUGCGUGCUUUAUUAAUUAAAUAAAUUUAUUGAAGUUAUUGUUUAACAACAGGUAAUCAAUCUAGAAGCAUCAAAACUAAAUUAUUUUGAGAGACAAAUCAUAGGCAUACGAAGUAUAAGAUACUAUAUUCCCAUGACAUUUUCAGUAAGCUCAGAUUUCUCUUGUUGUUUACUUGCAUAUUAAGUACAAUAUACUAAUGUUCGUAUUAUGUUGUAUUAUUAGCAAAUGAGUUUGUGCGAGAGUCCUCAUCAUUUUUUUGAUAGAAAAACAUCUAUCGUGAGUAAGUACAUUAAUGAAUUGGAUGAUUGUGAGAAGGCUAGUAAUUGUUUGUAAUGUUUAAUUGCAUAUAUCAUAUUUAGAGUAGAUAUUGUUUUCACCUACAAUAAAGUAGAUAUUUUGUGCCCCAACUCAUAGAUAUUGUUUUUCUAACUUUACAAAUAUUUAUUCCAAUGCAUGACAAUUGCCUUGGUCAUUGGUAUCUUUGCGUCAUUAACUUUAAAAACUCUCAUAUCCAGAUUUUGGAUUCAUUGCGAUCAAGGAGUCGGGAUGAAUUCCGGUUACAGUGGUUGAAUUUUGUCAAACGUUCUUCAAACUGUAUGACAUAGAGAAAGAUGUCUUCCAAUUCUCCAUUAAUUGGGCUCCUUCGAUUCUGACCCAAGAUAAUAGGUUUGUAUGAAUACAUAACUCACAUUAAUAUUGUUUAUCUGAGCUAUAAUUAUACAUUCAUUCAAUAAGUUGUUUUGCUUUUCUUAUAUUUUUCUUAGGUGGGACUGUGGAGUGCAUGUCAUUAAACAUAUGCAAACAUUUAAAAAUGGAGAUUCCAUGAAGGCCUCCAACUUAUGUAAUUAUGUUAAAAUACGUCAAGAAAUAGCAUGUGAUUUAAUUUUACACGAGGGAAACAGAGAAAAACAAACCAUGUUGACUACUGUUUGUACAAAGACAUCCACACAAGCAAUGAAAAAAAUUAUUAUUAUGAUA